rnacentral:rRNA from 1 species
CUGGCGGCAGGCCUAACACAUGCAAGUCGAGCGCUCACUUCGGUGGGAGCGGCGGACGGGUUAGUAACGCGUGGGAAUAUGCCCGGUACUAAGGAAUAGCCUUUGGAAACGAAGAGUAAUACCUUAUACGCCCUUCGGGGGAAAGAUUUAUCGGUAUCGGAUUAGCCCGCGUAAGAUUAGAUAGUUGGUGGGGUAAUGGCCUACCAAGUCUACGAUCUUUAGCUGGUUUUAGAGGAUGAUCAGCAACACUGGGACUGAGACACGGCCCAGACUCCUACGGGAGGCAGCAGUGGGGAAUCUUAGACAAUGGGCGCAAGCCUGAUCUAGCCAUGCCGCGUGAGUGAAGAAGGCCUUAGGGUCGUAAAGCUCUUUCGCCUGUGAUGAUAAUGACAGUAGCAGGUAAAGAAACCCCGGCUAACUCCGUGCCAGCAGCCGCGGUAAUACGGAGGGGGUUAGCGUUGUUCGGAAUUACUGGGCGUAAAGCGCGCGUAGGCGGACUAGAAAGUUGGGGGUGAAAUCCCGGGGCUCAACCUCGGAACUGCCUCCAAAACUGCUAGUCUAGAGUUCGAGAGAGGUGAGUGGAAUUCCAAGUGUAGAGGUGGAAUUCGUAGAUAUUUGGAGGAACACCAGUGGCGAAGGCGGCUCACUGGCUCGAUACUGACGCUGAGGUGCGAAAGUGUGGGGAGCAAACAGGAUUAGAUACCCUGGUAGUCCACACCGUAAACGAUGAAUGCCAGUCGUCGGCAAGUAUACUUGUCGGUGACACACCUAACGGAUUAAGCAUUCCGCCUGGGGAGUACGGUCGCAAGAUUAAAACUCAAAGGAAUUGACGGGGGCCCGCACAAGCGGUGGAGCAUGUGGUUUAAUUCGAAGC